rnacentral:rRNA from 1 species
CAUAUCAAUAAGCGGAGGAAAAGAAACCAACAGGGAUUGCCCUAGUAACGGCGAGUGAAGCGGCAACAGCUCAAAUUUGAAAUCUGGCUCUUUUAGAGUCCGAGUUGUAAUUUGCAGAGGGCGCUUUGGCUUUGGCAGCGGUCCAAGUUCCUUGGAACAGGACGUCACAGAGGGUGAGAAUCCCGUACGUGGUCGCUGGCUAUUGCCGUGUAAAGCCCCUUCGACGAGUCGAGUUGUUUGGGAAUGCAGCUCUAAAUGGGAGGUACAUUUCUUCUAAAGCUAAAUAUUGGCCAGAGACCGAUAGCGCACAAGUAGAGUGAUCGAAAGAUGAAAAGCACUUUGGAAAGAGAGUCAAACAGCACGUGAAAUUGUUGAAAGGGAAGCGCUUGCAGCCAGACUUGCUUACAGUUGCUCAUCCGGGUUUCUACCCGGUGCACUCUUCUGUAGGCAGGCCAGCAUCAGUUUGGGCGGUAGGAUAAAGGUCUCUGUCACGUACCUCCUUUCGGGGAGGCCUUAUAGGGGAGACGACAUACUACCAGCCUGGACUGAGGUCCGCGCAUCUGCUAGGAUGCUGGCGUAAUGGCUGUAAGCGGCCCGUCUUGAAACACGGACCAAGGAGUCUAACAUCUAUGCGAGUGUUUGGGUGUCAAGCCCGAGCGCGUAAUGAAAGUGAACGGAGGUGGGAACCCGCAAGGGUGCACCAUCGACCGAUCCUGAUGUCUUCGGAAGGAUUUGAGUAAGAGCAUGGCUGUUGGGACCCGAAAGAUGGUGAACUAUGCUUGAAUAGGGUGAAGCCAGAGGAAACUCUGGUGGAGGCUCGCAGCGGUUCUGACGUGCAAAUCGAUCGUCAAAUUUGGGCAUAGGGGCGAAAGACUAAUCGAACUAUCUAGUAGCUGGUUCUGCC